CCCACCCGGUGGCCACCCCACCCUGGGCCUUUGCGCAGAUGUUGGAGCUCCGUACGCAGCCCGCACAUCUGGGACCCCGCCGGGGAGCAGCGGGCACCCGGGCCCGGCCAUCCCCGGGGAUCUCCUCGCGGUAUCGUCCAGCCUGUUCUCGGACUUUGAGCGGUGGCGUGGGAGGCCGGGAGACCUGGGCACCCGCGCAGCCAGCCAGCUCUUACAGGUGAACAAGGUGAUGUCCAUCUUGUUUUAUGUGAUAUUUCUCGCUUAUCUCCGUGGCAUCCAAGGUAACAACAUGGAUCAAAGGAGUUUGCCAGAAGACUCGCUCAAUUCCCUGAUUAUUAAGCUGAUCCAGGCGGAUAUUUUGAAAAACAAGCUCUCCAAGCAGAUGGUGGACGUUAAGGAAAAUUACCAGAGCACCCUGCCCAAAGCAGAGGCUCCCCGAGAGCCGGAGCGGGGAGAGCCCGCCAAGUCCGAAUUCCAGCCAGUGAUUGCAAUGGACACCGAACUGCUGCGACAACA
rnacentral:sRNA from 1 species